GCAACCCUUAUCCUUUGUUGCCAGCGGUCCGGCCGGGAACUCAAAGGAGACUGCCAGUGAUAAACUGGAGGAAGGUGGGGAUGACGUCAAGUCAUCAUGGCCCUUACGACCAGGGCUACACACGUGCUACAAUGGCGCAUACAAAGAGAAGCGACCUCGCGAGAGCAAGCGGACCUCAUAAAGUGCGUCGUAGUCCGGAUUGGAGUCUGCAACUCGACUCCAUGAAGUCGGAAUCGCUAGUAAUCGUGGAUCAGAAUGCCACGGUGAAUACGUUCCCGGGCCUUGUACACACCGCCCGUCACACCAUGGGAGUGGGUUGCAAAAGAAGUAGGUAGCUUAACCUUCGGGAGGGCGCUUACCACUUUGUGAUUCAUGACUGGGGUGAAGUCGUAACAAGGUAACCGUAGGGGAACCUGCGGUUGGAUCACCUCCUUACCUUAAAGAAGC
rnacentral:rRNA from 3 species